UUUUCCUCCAUUUAACAUUGUUCCCUGGGUUAAACUGGCAAGUAUGCAGGUCACUGAUAAAUGCACAGCUGAGACUCCCUCUUUGGCUGAAGAAUCCAGCCAUGAUCCCCAUCAGCUAUGACUAUUAUUUAUGUGAAUGAGGAAGCAGUGAAAUAGUUUCUUUGCAGAGUAGCCUACAGCCUUGCUACUCAAAGUGUGAUCCUUUGGCAAGUAGCGUCAGUAUCACCUUGGGAGCCUAUUUGAAAUGAAGCAUCUCAGGUCCUACCCCAGACCACCUAAAGCAGAAUGUGCAUUUUAACAAAAUCGUUAGAUGUGUAAGCACAGUACAAUUUAAGAAACAGUCUCCUAGAGACCCCAAGCAGGAUCAGAACAUGAACCCCCACAUACAGAUUACCAGGCAGACAGCUCAAAAAAGGACACCUAGGGCAAUCUUGAAGGAGGACUGGAGCCCAAAGAUAAGAAAGGUAAGAUAGUCAGCCCAAGGGUGGUGAAGGUGUUGGAGGCACAGAAAAAUCAGAAGUGACAUAUGGAUUAUACCAGGUCUAGAGCUAGAACUCUGAAAGGAACAAGCAGGACCAAAAUCAGUUAUGGACCACGAGUUAGUGUAUGAUGGAUCAUGGCUUUGGGCUCAGAAGAGUUUUAGAGCUAGACUUCCUUAUAAUUCAAAUCUUAGCUCAGUUGUAUAUUGUUCCAUAAUAAACCAUCCUGUAACUUACUGGGUCAAAACAAUAACUCUUUAUUUUCCAUAAUGUGUAGGCAAUUUAGGCAGGGCUCAGCCUAGGAUGGCUCACCUGGGCUCACUCAUAUGUCCACAGUUAGCUUGCAAAUAGGCUGAAGGAUGGUUGGUCCCACAUAGC
rnacentral:lncRNA from 1 species